rnacentral:misc_RNA from 1 species
UGAAAUUCUUUUUGAAAUGCAAUCAAAACUGUCUAAAAAAUGCCGGUAAUCCCAGAGAUAUGAGACGCUUUCAGGUGGUUGUCUCCACACAGGUAACCGUUGAUGGUCCACUACUGGCUAUAUCCGAUAAUAUGUUUGUACACAACAAUUCGAAGCAUGGACGGCGUGCUAAGCGUUUGGAUACCACGGAAGGUACAGGAAACUCCUCACUGUCCUUAACGGGUCACCCACUUGCGCCUGACAGUACCUAUGAUGGUCUCUAUCCACCAUUACCUGUGGCCACACCCUGCAUCAAAGCGAUUUCACCCAGCGAGGGUUGGACCUCCGGUGGAGCAACAGUCGUUAUUAUUGGUGAUAAUUUCUUUGAUGGCCUCCAAGUUGUCUUCGGCACAAUGCUCGUUUGGAGCGAGUUGAUAACAUCGCAUGCCAUUCGUGUGCAAACACCACCACGCCAUAUGCCCGGGGUCGUGGAGGUGACUUUGUCGUAUAAGAGUAAACAAUUUUGCAAGGGUUCGCCGGGACGUUUUGUAUAUGUUUCGCUCAACGAGCCCACCAUCGAUUACGGUUUUCAACGUCUACACAAAUUGGUGCCACGUCAUCCUGGUGAUCCGGAGAAAUUGCAAAAGGAAAUUAUACUCAAACGUGCCGCCGAUUUAGUAGAAGCACUGUACUCCAUGCCAAGAUCUCCCAGCGGUUCGACUGGCUUCAAUUCAUACACCGGCCAACUGGCUGUUAGCGUUCAGGACACGGCCGGCCAAUGGACUGAGGAUGAUUAUCAACGCGCCCAAUCGAGUAGCGUGAGUCCACGAGGCGGUUAUUGUAGCAGCGCUUCGACACCACACAGCUCGGGUGGGUCUUAUGGUGCUUCGGUGGCCGCUAAUGGUUAUGGACCCACCACCAAUAUGGGCAGUGCCUUUUCGCCAUUAAUCUCAACAGUAUCGUCACCGUGGCAUCAGGCGCUAGUGCAACACCAUCACACACAUCCGCACCCAUAUCAUCACCACACCCACCAGCCGUGGCACAAUCCAGGCGCCUCCAUUGCAACGGCGGCAGUGUAGAGAGCGCAACGAAAGCGCGAGGAGCGAGAGAGAGAUAGCACACUCUGAAAUGAAAUGAAUGGAGUAAGCGGUCUCAGCUUCAACCCAUUCACGCUGCCAACGUGCAAUACCCAAGGCUAUGGCACUAGCCAACUGGUGACAUCCACUAA